AUUGAACGCUGGCGGCAUGCCUUACACAUGCAAGUCGAACGGCGGCACGGGAGCAAUCCUGGUGGCGAGUGGCGAACGGGUGAGUAAAGCAUCGGAACGUGCCCAGUCGUGGGGGAUAACGUAGCGAAAGCUACGCUAAUACCGCAUACGAUCUGUGGAUGAAAGCGGGGGACCGUAAGGCCUCGCGCGAUUGGAGCGGCCGAUGUCAGAUUAGGUAGUUGGUGAGGUAAAGGCUCACCAAGCCGACGAUCUGUAGCUGGUCUGAGAGGACGACCAGCCACACUGGGACUGAGACACGGCCCAGACUCCUACGGGAGGCAGCAGUGGGGAAUCUUGGACAAUGGGCGCAAGCCUGAUCCAGCAAUGCCGCGUGCAGGAUGAAGGCCUUCGGGUUGUAAACUGCUUUUGUACGGAGCGAAACGGCUUCCACUAAUACUGGGGGCUAAUGACGGUACCGUAAGAAUAAGCACCGGCUAACUACGUGCCAGCCGCCGCCGUAACAC
rnacentral:rRNA from 1 species